rnacentral:rRNA from 1 species
AGUCAAUAGAUACCCAGGUAGUCCACGCCGUAAACGAUGAAUACUAGGUGUAGGGGUUGUCAUGACCUCUGUGCCGCCGCAAACGCAUUAAGUAUUCCGCCUGGGGAGUACGGUCGCAAGAUUAAAACUCAAAGGAAUUGACGGGGGCCCGCACAAGCAGCGGAGCAUGUGGUCUAAUUCGAAGCAACGCGAAGAACCUUACCUAGACUUGACAUCUCCUGAAUUACUCUGUAAUGGAGGAAGCCCUUCGGGGUCGAGGAAGACAGGUGGUGCAUGGUUGUCGUCAGCUCGUGUCGUGAGAUGUUGGGUUAAGUCCCGCAACGAGCGCAACCCUUAUUGUUAGUUGCUACCAUUAAGUUGAGCACUCUAGCGAGACUGCCCGGGCUAACCGGGAGGAAGGUGGGGAUGACGUCAAAUCAUCAUGCCCCUUAUGUCUAGGGCUACACACGUGCUACAAUGGCUGGUACAGAGAGAUGCUAAACCGCGAGGUGGAGCCAAACUUUAAACCAGUCUCAGUUCGGAUUGUAGGCUG